UCUACUCAUCACAUCCUAGGGUUGAAGAAAGUCCCAAGAUUUCGGUUGUUCACCAAUUCAAGUUGUAUGUGAGUUGGGUUUAGAACGUUGUAAGACAAUUC
rfam:Glycine soja cultivar W05 scaffold208_73, whole genome shotgun sequence.